UACGUAGGGGGCAAGCGUUGUCCGGAUUUAUUGGGCGUAAAGAGCGUGUAGGCGGCCAGGUAGGUCCGUUGUGAAAACUCGAGGCUCAACCUCGAGACGCCGAUGGAAACCAUCUGGCUAGAGUCCGGAAGAGGAGAGUGGAAUUCCUGGUGUAGCGGUGAAAUGCGCUGAUAUCAGGAAGAACACCCGUGGCUAAGGCGGCUCUCUAGUACGGUACUGACGCUGAGACGCGAAAGCGUGGGGAGCGAACAGG
rnacentral:rRNA from 1 species